UACGUAGGGGGCGAGCGUUGUCCGGAUUCAUUGGGCGUAAAGAGCUCGUAGGCGGCUUGGCAAGUCGGGUGUGAAAACUUCAGGCUCAACCUGGAGCGGCCACUCGAUACUGCCAUGGCUUGAGUCCGGUAGGGGACCACGGAAUUCCUGGUGUAGCGGUGAAAUGCGCAGAUAUCAGGAGGAACACCGGUGGCGAAGGCGGUUCUCUGGGCCUUACCUGACGCUGAGGAGCGAAAGCGUGGGGAGCGAACAGG
rnacentral:rRNA from 1 species